UGGGGAAUAUUGCACAAUGGAGGGAACUCUGAUGCAGCGACGCCGCGUGAACGAAGAAGGCUUUCGAGUCGUAAAGUUCUUUUAUAUGGGAAGAUAAUGACGGUACCAUAAGAAAAAGCCCCGGCUAACUACGUGCCAGCAGCCGCGGUAAUACGUAGGGGGCUAGCGUUGUCCGGAAUCACUGGGCGUAAAGGGUUCGCAGGCGGAAAUGCAAGUCAGGUGUAAAAGGCAGUAGCUUAACUACUGUAAGCAUUUGAAACUGCAUAUCUUGAGAAGAGUAGAGGUAAGUAGAAUUUUUAGUGUAGCGGUGAAAUGCGUAGAUAUUAAAAAGAAUACCGGUGGCGAAGGCGGCUUACUGGGCUCAUUCUGACGCUGAGGAACGAAAGCGUGGGUAGCAAACAGG
rnacentral:rRNA from 1 species